rnacentral:rRNA from 1 species
CGGCGUGCUUAACACAUGCAAGUCGAACGCUGAAGCUUGGUGCUUGCACUGGGUGGAUGAGUGGCGAACGGGUGAGUAAUACGUGAGUAACCUGCCCUUGACUCUGGGAUAAGCCUGGGAAACUGGGUCUAAUACUGGAUAUGACCUCCUGUCGCAUGGUGGGGGGUGGAAAGGGUUUGUACUGGUUGUGGAUGGGCUCACGGCCUAUCAGCUUGUUGGUGGGGUAAUGGCCUACCAAGGCGACGACGGGUAGCCGGCCUGAGAGGGUGACCGGCCACACUGGGACUGAGACACGGCCCAGACUCCUACGGGAGGCAGCAGUGGGGAAUAUUGCACAAUGGGCGCAAGCCUGAUGCAGCGACGCCGCGUGAGGGAUGA